UUAAGCGACUAAGCGUACACGGUGGAUGCCCUGGCAGUCAGAGGCGAUGAAGGACGUGCUAAUCUGCGAUAAGCGUCGGUAAGGUGAUAUGAACCGUUAUAACCGGCGAUUUCCGAAUGGGGAAACCCAGUGUGUUUCGACACACUAUCAUUAACUGAAUCCAUAGGUUAAUGAGGCGAACCGGGGGAACUGAAACAUCUAAGUACCCCGAGGAAAAGAAAUCAACCGAGAUUCCCCCAGUAGCGGCGAGCGAACGGGGAGCAGCCCAGAGCCUGAAUCAGUGUGUGUGUUAGUGGAAGCGUCUGGAAAGGCGCGCGAUACAGGGUGACAGCCCCGUACACAAAAAUGCACAUGCUGUGAGCUCGAUGAGUAGGGCGGGACACGUGGUAUCCUGUCUGAAUAUGGGGGGACCAUCCUCCAAGGCUAAAUACUCCUGACUGACCGAUAGUGAACCAGUACCGUGAGGGAAAGGCGAAAAGAACCCCGGCGAGGGGAGUGAAAAAGAACCUGAAACCGUGUACGUACAAGCAGUGGGAGCACGCUUCGGCGUGUGACUGCGUACCUUUUGUAUAAUGGGUCAGCGACUUAUAUUCUGUAGCAAGGUUAACCGAAUAGGGGAGCCGAAGGGAAACCGAGUCUUAACUGGGCGUUAAGUUGCAGGGUAUAGACCCGAAACCCGGUGAUCUAGCCAUGGGCAGGUUGAAGGUUGGGUAACACUAACUGGAGGACCGAACCGACUAAUGUUGAAAAAUUAGCGGAUGACUUGUGGCUGGGGGUGAAAGGCCAAUCAAACCGGGAGAUAGCUGGUUCUCCCCGAAAGCUAUUUAGGUAGCGCCUCGUGAAUUCAUCUCCGGGGGUAGAGCACUGUUUCGGCAAGGGGGUCAUCCCGACUUACCAACCCGAUGCAAACUGCGAAUACCGGAGAAUGUUAUCACGGGAGACACACGGCGGGUGCUAACGUCCGUCGUGAAGAGGGAAACAACCCAGACCGCCAGCUAAGGUCCCAAAGUCAUGGUUAAGUGGGAAACGAUGUGGGAAGGCCCAGACAGCCAGGAUGUUGGCUUAGAAGCAGCCAUCAUUUAAAGAAAGCGUAAUAGCUCACUGGUCGAGUCGGCCUGCGCGGAAGAUGUAACGGGGCUAAACCAUGCACCGAAGCUGCGGCAGCGACACUGUGUGUUGUUGGGUAGGGGAGCGUUCUGUAAGCCUGUGAAGGUGUACUGUGAGGUAUGCUGGAGGUAUCAGAAGUGCGAAUGCUGACAUAAGUAACGAUAAAGCGGGUGAAAAGCCCGCUCGCCGGAAGACCAAGGGUUCCUGUCCAACGUUAAUCGGGGCAGGGUGAGUCGACCCCUAAGGCGAGGCCGAAAGGCGUAGUCGAUGGGAAACAGGUUAAUAUUCCUGUACUUGGUGUUACUGCGAAGGGGGGACGGAGAAGGCUAUGUUGGCCGGGCGACGGUUGUCCCGGUUUAAGCGUGUAGGCUGGUUUUCCAGGCAAAUCCGGAAAAUCAAGGCUGAGGCGUGAUGACGAGGCACUACGGUGCUGAAGCAACAAAUGCCCUGCUUCCAGGAAAAGCCUCUAAGCAUCAGGUAACAUCAAAUCGUACCCCAAACCGACACAGGUGGUCAGGUAGAGAAUACCAAGGCGCUUGAGAGAACUCGGGUGAAGGAACUAGGCAAAAUGGUGCCGUAACUUCGGGAGAAGGCACGCUGAUAUGUAGGUGAAGCGACUUGCUCGUGGAGCUGAAAUCAGUCGAAGAUACCAGCUGGCUGCAACUGUUUAUUAAAAACACAGCACUGUGCAAACACGAAAGUGGACGUAUACGGUGUGACGCCUGCCCGGUGCCGGAAGGUUAAUUGAUGGGGUUAGCGCAAGCGAAGCUCUUGAUCGAAGCCCCGGUAAACGGCGGCCGUAACUAUAACGGUCCUAAGGUAGCGAAAUUCCUUGUCGGGUAAGUUCCGACCUGCACGAAUGGCGUAAUGAUGGCCAGGCUGUCUCCACCCGAGACUCAGUGAAAUUGAACUCGCUGUGAAGAUGCAGUGUACCCGCGGCAAGACGGAAAGACCCCGUGAACCUUUACUAUAGCUUGACACUGAACAUUGAGCCUUGAUGUGUAGGAUAGGUGGGAGGCUUUGAAGUGUGGACGCCAGUCUGCAUGGAGCCGACCUUGAAAUACCACCCUUUAAUGUUUGAUGUUCUAACGUGGACCCGUGAUCCGGGUUGCGGACAGUGUCUGGUGGGUAGUUUGACUGGGGCGGUCUCCUCCUAAAGAGUAACGGAGGAGCACGAAGGUUGGCUAAUCCUGGUCGGACAUCAGGAGGUUAGUGCAAUGGCAUAAGCCAGCUUGACUGCGAGCGUGACGGCGCGAGCAGGUGCGAAAGCAGGUCAUAGUGAUCCGGUGGUUCUGAAUGGAAGGGCCAUCGCUCAACGGAUAAAAGGUACUCCGGGGAUAACAGGCUGAUACCGCCCAAGAGUUCAUAUCGACGGCGGUGUUUGGCACCUCGAUGUCGGCUCAUCACAUCCUGGGGCUGAAGUAGGUCCCAAGGGUAUGGCUGUUCGCCAUUUAAAGUGGUACGCGAGCUGGGUUUAGAACGUCGUGAGACAGUUCGGUCCCUAUCUGCCGUGGGCGCUGGAGAACUGAGGGGGGCUGCUCCUAGUACGAGAGGACCGGAGUGGACGCAUCACUGGUGUUCGGGUUGUCAUGCCAAUGGCACUGCCCGGUAGCUAAAUGCGGAAGAGAUAAGUGCUGAAAGCAUCUAAGCACGAAACUUGCCCCGAGAUGAGUUCUCCCUGACUCCUUGAGAGUCCUGAAGGAACGUUGAAGACGAUGACGUUGAUAGGCCGGGUGUGUAAGCGCAGCGAUGCGUUGAGCUAACCGGUACUAAUGAACCGUGAGGCUUAACCUU
rnacentral:rRNA from 1 species